rnacentral:rRNA from 1 species
UCGGGAAUUUUGGGCAAUGGGGGAAAGCCUGACCCAGCAACGCCGCGUGAAGGAUGAAGUAUUUCGGUAUGUAAACUUCGUAAGAAUAGGAAGAAUAAAUGACGGUACUAUUUGUAAGGUCCGGCUAACUACGUGCCAGCAGCCGCGGUAAUACGUAGGGACCAAGCGUUGUUCGGAUUUACUGGGCGUAAAGGGCGCGUAGGCGGCGUGGUAAGUCAUCUGUGAAAUCUCCGAGCUUAACUCGGAACGGUCAGAUGAUACUGCUGUGCUAGAGUACAGAAAGGGCAAUCGGAAUUCUUGGUGUAGCGGUGAAAUGCGUAGAUAUCAAGAGGAACACCUGAGGCGAAGGCGGGUUGCUAGGCUGAUACUGACGCUGAGGCGCGAAAGCUAGGGUAGCAAACGGGAUUAGAUACCCACGUAGUCCCUGAGCGGGCUGGCAAGGCGCAU